rnacentral:rRNA from 1 species
AUACGUAGGGUGCAAGCGUUGUCCGGAUUUAUUGGGUUUAAGGGGGUGCGUAGGCGGCCUGUUAAGUCAGUGGUGAAAUCCAACAGCUCAACUGUUGAUGUGCCAAUGAUACUGACGGGCUUGAGUACAGACGAGGUAGGCGGAAUUGACAGUGUAGCGGCGAAAUGCAUAGAUAUUGUCAAGAACACCGAUAGCGAAGGCAGCUUGCUAGCCUGUAACCGACGCUGAUGCACGAAAGUGUGGGGAUC